CCUACGGGUGGCUGCAGUGGGGAAUAUUGCGCAAUGGAGGAAACUCUUACGCAGCAACGCCGCGUGAAUGAAGAAGGGUUUCGGCUUGUAAAGUUCUUUAAUCGGGGACGAAAGAAAUGACGGUACCCAAGUAAGAAGCCCCGGCUAACUACGUGCCAGCAGCCGCGGUAAUACGUAGGGGGCAAGCGUUGUUCGGAAUGACUGGGCGGAAAGGGUGUGUAGGCGGGGUAGCAAGGUAGAAGUGAAAUACCUUGAGCUUAACUCAGGUGCUGCUUCUAAAACUGCUAUACUGGAGUGCAGGAGAGGAAAGUGGAAUUCCUAGUGUAGCGGUGGAAUGCGUAGAUAUUAGGAAGAACACCAGUGGCGAAGGCGACUUUCUGGACUGUAACUGACGCUGAGGCACGAAAGUGUGGGGAGCGAACAGGAUUAGAUACCCCUGUAGUC
rnacentral:rRNA from 1 species